rnacentral:rRNA from 1 species
AUUGAACGCUGGCGGCAUGCCUUACACAUGCAAGUCGAACGGCAGCACGGGAGCAAUCCUGGUGGCGAGUGGCGAACGGGUGAGUAAAGUAUCGGAACGUGCCCAGUCGUGGGGGAUAACGUAGCGAAAGUUACGCUAAUACCGCAUACGAUCUAUGGAUGAAAGCGGGGGAUCGCAAGACCUCGCGCGAUUGGAGCGGCCGAUAUCAGAUUAGGUAGUUGGUGGGGUAAAGGCUCACCAAGCCGACGAUCUGUAGCUGGUCUGAGAGGACGACCAGCCACACUUGGACUGAGACGCGGCCCAGACGCCUACGGGAGGCAGCGGUGGGGAAUUUUGGACAAUGGGCGAAAGCCUGAUCCAGCCAUGCAGCGUGCAGGAUGAAGGCCUUCGGGUUGUAAACUGCUUUUGUACGGAACGAAAAGGUUUGGCCUAAUAAGCUGAGCUCAUGACGGUACCGUAAGAAUAAGCACCGGCUAACUACGUGCCAGCCGCCGCCGUAA